UUAGCCUAGAAGGGAAGAAGGAGAGAAGUCAGGCUGUGAGGGGCGGUGGGAGCACAUGAUGAUGAUGACAAGGAGGAGCCUUGAGAAGGUGGCUCAGGGCCUGCCAGGGGGCACUGGUCAGCAGGCUGUCCUUGUGGUCGCUCCCCCGCCCCCUCAGUGGCUGGGCCCUCCCCGUGCCUGUGAUACCAAGUCCCACACCUCCGUCAGGUGAGACCACCUGCCCUGCAGGUCCAGGGGCCCCAGUCCCGGUGCUGACUCUGGCCGGGCACUCCCACCCCUUUGGCCCCGAGUCCCCCUUGAGAAAAACAAAAAGGCUGCCCAACUGCCUCCGAAGGGCCCUUCCAGUUCCGAGUUCCCCAGCCCCGGGUCCCAGGCGCCUCCGGCACAUGUCAAUGGCUGGGGGCCGUUCCUGUCCUCAGCGGGCACUGACCACACGUGGGGGAACUAUGACUCAAGGCAGAACCCAGCAAUGCACAGCCCGGCUGCAAGGAAGGUUCCAGGGAGGCGAACCCCGUCUCGAGGAGGCACCUCGAAAAGUACAGAGGGUGACCCGGGAGAAGAGGGCUCAGCCAGCGCCCCGGCCUGGCCUGUGGGAAGAUGUCUCGAGGGGGUGAGCUGGGCGCUGACGCUUGGUCUCCAUUUGUACCUUCUUUUCCUAACACUCAGUCCAGAGCAUCCAAUCAGCAACACGGUUCCCACAGGACCUGCGUCAGUGAGCACCCCGACAGGGACCCGGCACUCGGAUAGCCCGGCCGGAUAGGACGUGCUGCGGCGGCGACUUCGUGACCCCGCCCUCGAUCGCCCACGGACUGUGUGAGCCAAGCAGUGUGUGUGCAAAAGGCACUAAUUUCCUUCCCUCCCAGAUAACAGCCCUCGGCUCCGAACAUGCGAUGGAGGCCCGGACCAGGCCUGACACUCCUGGAAUAUCUGGGGUCACGGGGCAGGAGUGACUAUGGCAUGGGGGGGGGGGCAGCUCCUCCCUGCACCUGCCCUGAUCCCCUCUCCCUGCACCUGCCCUGAUCCCCUCUCCCUGCACCUGCCCUGAUCCCCUCUCCCUGCACCUUCCCUGAGCUGGCCCAGGGGCCGCCUGCCUGGGUCCUGAGCAUCCAUGCAGCUGACUGUGACCCAGAGCAGUGACGCUGGGCUGAGGCCUGCCCUUCCUCCCCUCCUUUCUCCAAACUCCCCUUAGUAGCACAGGGUUGAUGCAGAGAAUUCAUCACCGGAUGUGACAGCCAAGUGAGCCUGGCACUGAGAAACUCUCAUUUGCAGCCCAGAACUCGCUGAGGUGCCACAAAGCGGCUGAUGUCAGCACCGCGAGGAGCUCGGCCUGCACACAGGCAGAUGCCAGCAGCCCAGACUCGGGCGUGGCAGGCGGGGGGAGAGCUCGGGGCUGUCCCCGGCGCUGGUGGGCGGCCAGAGAGGGAAACACAGACACAGAGGCCCCGCCCCUGUGACCCGCACAGGCACCCACAUGCUCACCAGGGCAGGCACGGCCAGAGCACCGUUUCCCACCGAGGUAGCUGGAGCAACCAGGCUCCUGGCAGGCAGUUUUCCCAACAUUUUACAGGGAGCUUUCCGAGAGCUGCUCCGAGUUGCCAGGAUGCUCCCUGGGAAAUCUCAGCCUGGCCACUGCAGAUCCACCUCUUUUAAAGAGCUGCGACCUUUAAAAAUGCAGCUCUGACCUCCUCCUCACCCCACCUUCAGUGGCUUCGAGCUGAGGGUCCGUGUCCCCUUCAGACCUGCGCUUCCUGCCCUGCUCAAUGCUCAUGGCUCAUGCUUCAAUACCCCCUCCCGCCACUCAGGAGUUCCCAUAGCAGAGGCCCGCUCACCCAGUCCCCCCACCCACACCUGCUGUCUCCACCUUGAGGGUGCGCACGUGUCCCAUGUGCCCCUAGCAUGGUCUCCUGGGGGCAGCCCUGUCCUCUGUCACAUCACAAGGCAUUGGGCUGCCACGGGCAUGUCCUCGCCUGCCAGACCAUGAGCACCACUGUGGGGCUCCUGGCUGAUUCCACGCUGCCUCCCAGUGCCUGCACCUCACAGAUGUUAGACAAUGUCCGAGAGGGACAAGCAAAGACGUGAAGGAACAGGUAGUGGCACAGGCUGUGGAGAGAUAUAUGGUCUCAGGUGGGUGACCUCCAUGACCAUUUAUACCAAGCCAUGUAGGCCCAGGAAACAGCUGAGAGAGGCUGGCCGCCUGUACUUGGCCAUGUAGGCCCAGGAAACAGCUGAGAGAGCCUGGCGGGCUGUACUUGGCCAUGUAGGCCCAGGAAACAGCUGAGAGAGCCCUGGCGGGCUGUACUGAGACAUAUACACCCAGGUUUACUUCCUGACAUGCCACCCUGUGCAGGACAACACUGCUGGUCAGCUCGGCUUCUCUUACACCGCACUGCGGGGUCCUGGCUGAGACUGCACAGUAAGACGGUCAACCUGCCCCCUCUCCAUUGAUAACAUGUGAACUCUUUUGUUACAAGUCACUUCUUCAACCUUCUGUGCCAUGCACUCUAACUGCCAUCUAUGGGUGCCCUGUCACAAUCCAGACACAACCCUACCUGCCAAUGCGCCCACCAGCACCAUCCUGCCAGCACCUAGCGCCAUCCAACUGGAGGGCACCUGUCAGUGGGUUCUGGGAUCGAGAUCUACCCUGGCACCUUCUUAGCGUCAUUCUUUUCUAUUUCUCCUGUGGCAAACACCCAGCAUUCAUGCCGCCAUGUCAGGCACGUGGGACACGGGAGGGGCUGGUCGAGGCCGCCCACUGGUGUGGGUACAGUUCCCAGCUUUAGGGUCAGGUGCUUUCUUAUUUCUAUUAAAAGUGCAAAUGUGGCUGUUACGCAGAACGUUUCCACAUCCUGCAGACUCCGUAGGUUUGAUGUAUACACAGGAAGUUAAAACUUACGAAUUGUUUAAUUUAACUUUUCAGAGAGAGAGAGAGAGAGAGAAAAAAGCUCAGUUUGUCUGGGCUACAGAGAGGUGUCUUAGGACAGAAAACUAUUUCUAUCUGAAUAGACACCCUCCGCACUCAGACCUGCAAAAUCCCAAGCAUGUCCCCUUACACACAUCGGCACAGUGUGCAGAACACACACGCAUGUAUUCUCAUAGACUGAGCACACAUUCAGAACACACAGCACUCCAGGAAUGAGUGUGCACAUGUGGACACAUACACACGCUGCGGGAAGAAAGCUGUAAGAGACUAUUAUGUUUACUCAUAGCCAAAUCUGGGUAAUUCAAGCAAAGGGCAUUUGUUUUACUCUCAGUAUAAGUGAUCUGAUGGGCUGACUCUCUACAGCCCUAAGUUCUUCGUUGUAUUCUUAUAACCUCUGAUUUUGCUUUGCUUUGUUGAAAGAUAUCCUUUACUCACGGUGCACAUGGAGGCUACACACAUACUUCCACGUGAUGGGGUCUCCACGGAGCACACACAUCACUCGAGGUGGACACCUCAAGGCCACUGACCAUCACACGGAAGCUGAAGCCCCUCUCACUCGUCUGCCGUCCACACAGCCAUCACCCCAGAUAACCAGACCCAGUGACAUGCCGCGGAGAGACACGGAGCCAACUCCACGCCCAGAGACUGGCAUAUUCAAGUACAGAGAGGACAGUAAUAGCAACUUACAUGCCAUCACUGAGACAAAGCCACAAAGGCCGCGCUGGCAGCCGCUUAUUUUGAAGCCUAUUAUUUGUGGGAGGUACAAGCUGUAAUCACAACAGAAACUUUCAAAGCCCUUAUCCUCCGUGACGCACCAAAUCUAUUUCAGACCCCUAAUUGCUAUGUCACCAGAGAGCUGGCUGCUUAAUGCGCUCAAAUGGCGCUGAGAGCUUGCAGGGCUGCGGCCGGCAGAGCGUGGGGGGUAGGGAGGGGGUGCAGGGGGCACAGCCUCCCUGCUGCCUCCUUCAUUCAGGGAGGCGUCUCGCUCAGAACUGUUUACAGGUGACGCGAGAGAAAGGCUUGAAGACCGCUCAUCCAGACUGUGAACACACCCGGCUCUCCCACGCACAUCCUUGAUGCGGGACCCUCGUUAGGCUGGGAUUCUUGUCCACAUGGAACGUGGACUGACUUUUUAAAUUUUAGCUUUUUCCCUUUUAUAUUGUCCCAGAAAUACCCCAGCUGUGUGGCUGUGGCGGGUCCGGAGAAGCCAGGGCAAUGACUAGACGGAGAGAGAAGUUUUCCUAGGAUAACAACGGCUUUCCUGCCGAAGAACUGUCCACUGAAAUAAACAGAACGGCACAUGGGGUGGGGAGGCCUCCUCCACGGGCGUCCCGCCAUCUAGAAGCAGAGUUUUCUCCACUUUCCACACGCCCUCAGUGCAGUGGUGGGACAUCAUACUGCAGAAGAGUUCGGGAAGUCACCGAGAAAAAGGUGGACAUUUCAAGAAUACAUUUACAAGGCUAAUAAACAUGAAGAAAUUCACGAGUAAUCAAAAAGAAACAAAUUAAAGUCAAGUGAAAGUGAGACACCCUUUUAUAAUUUAACUAGUGGCUUGGUGCACGAAUUCAUGCACAUUGAAAGGAAAUUAAUUAGAAGAAAUAUUUUAGUAUCGCUAUUUGCCCUUAUUCUAUAAUAGAAGUGUCAACCAAAUUCACAAUCGACAAUGACAGAUCAAAACACACAUGUGCGAUUGGCACCAGCGAGAGCUUUAUAUGUAUCAUGCAUGCACGAGUCAACAUAGCCUUUUGUAGAUAUAGAGUAAACUUGCUUAAUUAGACCUGCUUUCUGAUGUAGCUAAACUUUUCCCAGCCCAGUGAAGCACCCCAACUUCUCUUUCAGGUAAUUGUCAGCAACACAGCAGAUUAUAUAAAUAU